UGAUACCAAGGGUCCAAAAGGGCCUGUGUUUCACGCUCGCGUGAAAAAACAGGUCUUUGGGACCCGCAAAACAUGAGAAAGUAGCCAUUUUUGUAGAAAAAUGAGCGGAUUUCGAAUGUUUUUCGGAUUUCGGGAGUGUGAAACACGGAGAAAUCCGAAGGUAUCA
rnacentral:sRNA from 1 species